rnacentral:rRNA from 1 species
UUUCUAAUUCUUCCUGGAGGAGCUUGCUAUCUAACCGAUAAUCCACGAAAUACCUUACCAACUUUUGAAUAGUA